GAGGGAAGAAGUAGAUAUUAUAUAUCUCAACUUUAGAAAGGCUUUUGAUACUGUCUCACGUGACCCUCUCAUAAGCAAACUUGGGAAAUAUAGCCUAGAUGAAACUACUAUAAGGUGGGUGCAUAACUGGUUGAAAAACUGUACUCAGAGAGUAAUUAUCAAUGGUUCACAGUCAAGCUGGGAGGGCAUAUUGCAUGGGGUCCUUCAGGGAUCUGUUCUAGGUCUGGUUCUAGUUAAUAUCUUCAUAAAUGAUUUGGAUAAUGGCAUAGAGAGUACACUUAUAAAAUGGAA